rnacentral:rRNA from 1 species
UACGAGGGGGCAAGCGUUGUUCGGAAUUAUUGGGCGUAAAGGGUGCGUAGGCGGUCUGACAAGUCUGAUGUGAAAUCUAUGGGCUCAACUCAUAGUCUGCAUCGGAAACUGCCGGGCUUGAGUAUGGGAGAGGUGAGUGGAAUUCCUGGUGUAGCGGUGAAAUGCGUAGAUAUCAGGAGGAACACCUGUGGCGAAAGCGGCUCACUGGACCAUAACUGACGCUGAGACACGAAAGCGUGGGUAGCAAACAGG